rnacentral:rRNA from 1 species
UUUGGACAAUGGGGGAAACCCUGAUCCAGCCAUCCCGCGUGUAUGAUGAAGGCUUUCGGGUUGUAAAGUACUUUUUGCAGAGAAGAAAAGGUACCUCCUAAUACGAGGUACUGCUGACGUUAUCAGCAGAAUAAGAACCGGCUACCGACGUGCAAGCAGCCGCGGUAAUACGUAGGGUGCAAGCGUUAAUCCGAAUUACUGGGCGUAAGGCGUGUGUAGGCGGUUCGGAAAGAAAGAUGUGAACUCCCAGGGCUCAACCUUGUAACUGCAUUUUUAACUGCCGAGCUAGAGUAUGUCAGAGGGGGGUAGAAUUCCACGUGUAGCAGUGAAAUGCGUAGAUAUGUGGAGGAAUACCGAUGGCGAAGGCAGCCCCCUGGGAUAAUACUGACGCUCAGACACGAAAGCGUGGGGAGCAAA